GAGCAAUGCUUAGGAAUCUGCCUAUUAGUGGGGGACAACAUUCCGAAAGGGAUGCUAAUACCGCAUACGUCCUACGGGAGAAAGCAGGGGAUCUUCGGACCUUGCGCUAAUAGAUGAGCCUAAGUCGGAUUAGCUAGUUGGUGGGGUAAAGGCCUACCAAGGCGACGAUCUGUAGCGGGUCUGAGAGGAUGAUCCGCCACACUGGGACUGAGACACGGCCCAGACUCCUACGGGAGGCAGCAGUGGGGAAUAUCGGACAAUGGGGGGAACCCUGAUCCAGCCAUGCCGCGUGUGUGAAGAAGGCCUUAUGGUUGUAAAGCACUUUAAGCGAGGGGGAGGCUACUGAGACUAAUACUCUUGGAUAGUGGACGUUACUCGCAGAAUAAGCACCGGCUAACUCUGUGCCAGCAGCCGCGGUAAUACAGAGGGUGCGAGCGUUAAUCGGAUUUACUGGGCGUAAAGCGUGCGUAGGCGGCUUUUUAAGUCGGAUGUGAAAUCCCCGAGCUUAACUUGGGAAUUGCAUUCGAUACUGGGAAGCUAGAGUAUGGGAGAGGAUGGUAGAAU
rnacentral:rRNA from 1 species